CACCUGGGGCCGGUGUGAGUGCUGCAGGAGGGAGGGCAUGGAGCUCCUCGGCCCCUCCCGGACCUUGCCCUACGCCUCUCCUACACCUGGCUGGUCCCCGACUUACAUGCUCUUAUAAACCAGCCACGUAGCGGAUAAGAUGUUCCUCCGAGUUCUACGCCAAGCGAUGACUUACACAGAGAACGUGUCUGCAGAAAGCCAGGCCACCGCUCUGGGCAUCUGUUCCCGUCACAGAAAAAGGGAAGAAAAGAGCAGCAAGAAGAGGCCAAUUAGGGAUGCCCGGGUAGCUCAGCAGUUGAGCAUCUGCCUCCGGCUCAGGGAGUGAUCACAGGGUCCUGAGAUCGAGUCCUGCAUUGGGCUCCUCACGCAAGAGCCUGCUUCUCCUCUGCCUGUGUCUCCGUGUCUCUCAGGAAUCAAUAAAUACAAUCUUCAAAAAGAAAAAAGAAUGUGAAAAGUUAGAUAUCAAUUUAAAUCAUCAUCAGACCUUUAACCUUACAAAAACAAAACAAAACUGAGUUUCAAACGGAUGGCAUGGGGACACCUAGGAGGCUCAGUGGUUUAGUGCCUGUGUUGUGUUGUGACCCCGGGGUCCUGGGAUCAAGUCCCCCAUCGGGCUCUCUCUGCCUGUGUCUCUGCCUCUCUGGUUUCCCAUGAAUAAGUAAACUUUUUUAAAAAGAGGGGAGCAAUAGAAGUCUUUAAAUGUUUUAUUUAUGGCAAUGCUACAACUUUCCCCCUUUUCAGUAAAUCUAAAGAGCUCAAGCAUUCAUACGUUGGCAUCAUAGGUGAACUGUUCACGGGUCAAACCCUUCACCUCCUAAGGGACAAGGUGAGCACGUUCAUAGUCUACCAGAGCUCUCAGAGGCCUCGUAAAGUCGGUUUUCACUGCAAUCUUUUGCCUUAUACGUCUCCUCCCCAUAUAGGGAGAACCCCGGUUCCCACAAAGGCACUUGGCUCCCUACUUACCUUGGAAGUGGGAUUACCACACCACCUGCUGGCCAAGAUCUAGAACAUGUGCACAUACACAGAAAGAGCCCUGAUCUGUUCCAUUCUUACUUGGGAGUGUCUAGUAACAGUUCCUUUCCUCGUAACCACGUAAAACACUUUGAGAAUACGAUCCCCAGCUUUAUAUACGCAUUUCAUGAAAAUGGUAUGGACUGAAAAGAAAAGGCCCGUGUAAUAGAGUCAUGCAUUUCCAGCUCAAUUUUAUACUUUGGGCCCAGGGAACGAGUGGGAAGUGGUGGGAAAGGAUGUCAGAAUUUCAAAGCAAUGACUUUAAGGCCGUUCUGUGGUGCCAGGCCAAGCUCAAGUACUCGCACUACUGGAUUCUCCAACUGCCUUAUGGUCAUAACGACUGUCUUCUCUAUGUCAGCCAGACAUUAGUCAAAAAGACUGUCUUCCACAGGGUCACUGGAUGCUCUUGGUCACAUGCUACUUUGACAACAUCCUCACACUCACGUUCCUCUUGCCCACGCACUGAACGUAAACGGUAUUUAUUGGCUCUUAUGUGGCAAAUUAAAAUUAUCUAGAGGUUGGCUCCAACUUUCAAGCAAUUUCAUAUGGAACUGCAAAAGUUUGUGUUUUAUUUUCUACAUUCCAGCCCAUCAUAGUUUAGUGAGUGUUUUUUUAAGAUUUCAUUUAUUUAUUCAUGAGAGACAGACAGAGAGAGAGGGACAGAGACACAGGCAGAGGGAGAAGCAGGCUCCAUGCAGGGAGCCCGACGAAGGACCUGAUCCCUGGACUCGAGGAUCAGGAUCACCCCCUGAGCCAGAGGCAGACACUCAACCAGUUAGUCACCCAGGCCGCUAGUGGGUGCUUUUUAAAAGUACAACUUAAAUUCAGAGACUUUCCUUAGAAAUGUAUUGAAAUCACAUUCUUCAUAAGGGAUCCAGAUCUACUUGCAAAGUAGCUUUUAUGAACUUCAGCUAGAUUUGUCACACAUGUAAGUCUAGAAGCAUUCAUGGUUCAGAAGCUUGAAAACUGAAGGGCAAGGAUGGUUCCCCUCCAACCGUGUAGGAUAAGGUCCUGCAAAAUGCCCUGAACAGGAGAAAUUUGGGAUCACGUUAUCAGCACUACUUGUAGAGGAAAGGAAGGACUGAGUUUGCAACUGAAUUUUCCAAAGAUCUUCUGUUUGUUUUGUUUUGUUUUGUCUUAAUUUUUUAUUGGAGUUCAAUUUACCAACAUAUAGCAUAACACCCAGUGCUCAU